UACGGGGGGAGCAAGCGUUGUUCGGAUUUAUUGGGCGUAAAGAGCUCGUAGGCGGUUUGUCGCGUCGAAUGUGAAAACCCGGGGCUCAACCCCGGGCCUGCAUUCGAUACGGGCAGACUAGAGUACGGUAGAGGGGGAUGGAAUUCCGCGUGUAGCAGUGAAAUGCGUAGAUAUGCGGAGGAACACCGAUGGCGAAGGCAAUCCCCUGGACCUGUACUGACGCUCAUGCACGAAAGCGUGGGGAGCAACAGG
rnacentral:rRNA from 1 species